CUCAACGGAAGAGCGAAAAAUCCGGCUGUCGUUGUGGACCCCCUUGGACCGACCUACCCGGCGCUAUUUAGGUAUUGGGGAAUGGGGAGGGCCUCCUUUCCUUUCUUUUCCAUCUCCACGACCACCUCCACGAGUGAUUGUGCGUGUGCGACGACGCAGAAAAUAAGAGCCGCCACCACCGUGAAGACCCGACGCGGCCUCUUUUCCCCGCCAAAGUUUCUUCCUCACAACUCGCUGCCGCCCCUGGACGCCGGUCUCGUCCCUGCCUUCUAUGCGCGCUGACGGCGCCAUCUUCACCUACGCUGGGGCCUGCGCAGCACCAUGCCCCGCACUUUGUCGACGACCAGCCCUACCCCCAUCAUUGAAGUGAGGUCAAGUCACCUGAGGAUCAUCCUGGUACCUGGAAUCUUAAGUCCCAGGAAAAGAACAGGUGAUUCAAGAGGAGCCACGUAUCGAGGAGUUUGACUUGAUCUAGGUGGCGUCUCUCAGUUGACUUUAUGGCGCCAAGGAUGGACUUUAGUUCAAUAUAUAUUUAUCUUUUAUUUUGUAAGGACCUCCGCUAUGUAAUAAGUAUUCUGAUUAUAUUGUGACAUUUAUAUCUAUACACUCUGUUAUU